rnacentral:pre_miRNA from 1 species
CUCAUACUCCCUCCGUCCGGAAAUACUUGUCAUCAAAAUGAACAAAAGGGAAUGUAUCUAGACGUAUUUAGUUCUAGAUACAUCCUUUUUUAUUCAUUUUGAUGACAAGUAUUUUCGGACGGAGGAAGUACCAC